rnacentral:rRNA from 1 species
CCCUUAGAUGUUCUGGGCAGCACGCGCGCUACAAUGGUCUUCGCAAACGGAUGCAUUCUCGAAGGAGAAUGCCAAUCUUGGAAUCUAUGCCUUGGUCGGGACAGUUGCUUGCAAUUUUUCGACUCGAACCAGGAAUUCCUUGUAAUCGUGAUUCAUCACAUCACGAUGAAUACGUCCCUGCCCUUUGUACACACCGCCCGUCGCUCCUACCGACUGAGUGAUCCGGUGAAUAAUUCGGACCUGGAUCUAAGCCGGCAACGGUUUGGACUUGGGAAAGUCUAGUGAACCUUAUCACUUAGAGGAAGGAGAAGUCGUAACA